rnacentral:lncRNA from 1 species
GUCAAUAACAAAUCAGUGAACCAGAGAGAGGCAGAGACGGAGGCUGUGGGCCACACCCCUUUCCCAUCCUGCAUUAUGACAUCACUACUUCUUCCUUUCCCUGGGAAAAUGGUCCCAGGUGCUGUGUGCUCCUCUGAGCUGGAGCCCUUUUUGUUUGGCUUAAGUCAGUCCCUCUAAAGUGGGAUCAGCCUUUCUGUAGCCUCCUGGCUCCAAACAGUAAUUGGUUUCAGAAUUCCUCCAAACUAAAAAUCAUACGAUUUAUAUGCAUUUUGGUCAAAAGUAGAGUUUUUGUUUGAGAUUUUUAAAGAUAGCAGUGUGGCAAAAUUGUAUUUUUAGCUUUUGCUCAAAAUGAUCUUAUUAAUAAAUUCGUAAAUCCUUCUCUCCAAAGCAAGACUUCACCAGUAUUUGUAACUAGGAAAAGUGAAUGUUAAAUUGUGAACUUUAAUACUUACUUGUUAGGAGCAAUGACUGUGAUCAUGGAAUGGCCUUUUGAGACCUGCAUGUCCCAGUGUACAAUUUCAGCCCAGCAUUUUCUGCAUCCUUGUGUGGCAUCCAAAGGAUUCUGCUGCAGAAAUGAUUGACGUGCUAUUUUUCCUGUCUAGUGAUGCAGCUGCUUUGGGCCCCUGGCCAUUGUUCCAAGGCUCUCAGUCCUGCACAGAACAGAGAAACUGGGUCACUAGUGUUGAGAGGCCCCAGGGGAGCUCCUGGUGGCCUUGUUUCUUGCCUUCACAAUUGUCACUAAAUUACCACCUGUGCCCCUUCAGUGGUAACUCUGGUCUAAGGGAACGUUCGGCUGUCCAGUGGCACCUGCUCAGAAGUUCCCUGCCCCAAGUAAUCUCAGCCCAUUCCUCUCUCCAUCCCUGAAAGAAACGGGAUGGAUUUUCCUCUCUUCUCCCCCGCACCCCCAUCACUAGACUUUUAUGCUACAGUUUCGUUCACGAUUGUGAUUUCUCCAUGGGAUUUUUUUUUUUUUUUUCUGGUGACAUUUCUGUCAUGGAAAUAGGAAGAUUUCGGAGUGCUCUGUAAAGAUCUCAGUUGUCUGUCUCUUUCUCUCUUUGACGUGUACGAAGGAGAUUGUACAUUGCCUGGUAUCUCUUUGUAAAUGAGAAAUACUGCUAACGUCCCAGCAUCUUGAAGUCUUGCUUAUCCUUCUGGGUUUAGUUUUUAUUUUGUUUUACAUUUUGUUUGGGGACUUGGGGCAAGCUAUUUAUUAGAGUUUUGCAACAGAGUUCUUGUUUGAAGCCUUUAAAGACUACUUGUAAAAUUCAAAUAAUAAAAUUCAUUUUAAACACUCUUUU